AGUGGAAGAAGAAACGAUGUGGUGACAUGAUAAAAAAAUUGAGAUGGCUAAAAGGGUUGUGUUUUGUUUGUUAUUGUUUUAUGAUUUUUGUUUUGUG
rnacentral:ribozyme from 14 species